rnacentral:rRNA from 1 species
UACGUAGGGUGCAAGCGUUAAUCGGAAUUACUGGGCGUAAAGCGUGCGCAGGCGGUGAUGUAAGACAGGUGUGAAAUCCCCGGGCUUAACCUGGGAACUGCAUUUGUGACUGCAUCGCUGGAGUGCGGCAGAGGGGGAUGGAAUUCCGCGUGUAGCAGUGAAAUGCGUAGAUAUGCGUAGGAACACCGAUGGCGAAGGCAAUCCCCUGGGCCUGCACUGACGCUCAUGCACGAAAGCGUGGGGAGCAAACAGG